CGCCCAGACACCCCCACUUGAUUCCUCUUCUAACCACACACCAGGAAAGACAGCGCACUUUCCUCCUGGCAUUCCCCUCUCUUUUUGCCUAAAACACCCCCAAGAGAGGAGCGACGCCUUUCCUCACGCGUGGAGACCCCAGUCCCCUAACGCGGGUGCGCCAGCCUCCAUCCUCCCCCACCACAUACACGCACACUCCUCCCCCAGUCCCUUGAGAACGAAGGCGCGCGCACCCACCACACACACACACACACACACACACCCCGGGCGUUCUUUUGAGAGAGCAACCAAGAACCCUGGCAAAGCCAAAGAAACAGCGGAGAGCCUGGGGGAAGGGGGGUCGAGGGAGUAGAUAGGGGCGUCGAGUCUACGCGGAAUUGAAUAAUUCCAGGACCGAGGGGGGUGUCUGGUUCUGUUGCUCUCCUUGCCUGGAAGAAUUUCCUAGCCUCAUUCAUGCCUAUGAAAGUCCUGGGAAGAUACUUCAAGUUGGAUUCCAAAAGCCAUUCCUUCAACGAACUCUUUAAUUGAACUUAACCAGUUGUGCUUCCUCAAAAGAGUAAAAGGUUGUUGGUGGCAACCUUCCCAAUUUAGUUCAUGGAGAUGGACUGUGACAGGAUUACCGGAGAAAUGGAAACCACCUGGAGAUCAAGAAGUGCUAAAUUCCAUCUAGACACAAAUCAGAGUCAUCAUCUUGCCUCAAACUCCUCAGGAAAAAGAGUUUUUAACACCCUUCUGUUUUUCAGCUGUUUUUCCCCCCUUUGUUUUACUUAGGACAGUUUUUCUCACUGUAUCUUCAAGUUUAUUGACCUGUUAUUCAGCAGUUUUGAGUUGGCUAAGCCCACCCAGUCAUUUCUUUUUCCAUUUCAGGCACUGUAUUUUUCCACUCUACCAGUUCCAUUUUUUAAAAAUAUUCUGUAAUUUUUAAAUCUGUAAAAAUCUUAAUAUGUUUGUAAUUCCUUAAAAUCCUUGAUUAUAUCUAUAAUAGCUAUUUUAAAGCCUUUGUCUACUUAUUCUAUCAUUAUCUAUUAUUGAUGUGUCUGUUUCUUUUGUGUGAUUUUUCUCUUGGUUAUGUGUUACAUUAAACUGCUUCAUCACAUAUUCACUGAGUUUUGAUUGGUUGCUGGACACUGUAAUGCGAUAUUAUUGGCUAUCUAGAUUUUGCUUUAUUCCUUCACAAAGACUUGAUAUUUUUCAAAGUAUCUGUGCCUCAGCCUGAUCCUUUUGAGGCUUAUUUUUAAGUGUGGUUAAAGUGGGUCAAAAGUAUCUGUUACUUUGAGGCUAUUUUGGGUCCACUCCUGAGGCCUGACUAUUUUGGUGUCUUUACUGAAUGCCCUGGGUGCUAAAAGAAUUUCUUUCUACUCUAGCAGUUGAAAAUCUCUCUCAGACCUGUGUGAGUCCUGGGAAUUGCUCAGUAUACAGCUUCCUGGCAGUUGUUCUCUGUCUGGUCUCAUGGAAAUUUACCCUAUAAAUGUUUGGUGUAACAUACAGUCAAAGAUCCAGGGAAUCAAUGUGUAGAUUUCUGGAGCUCUCUUUUCUAUGUAGCCCUCUUCUCUUAUUCUUCUCCACAAAUUCCAGUU